CAUUUAUGAUCCUCCGUUCUAACUUUUCUUAAGGGUAGUUAAACCCCCCCGAGGACGGGGGUUCCCGAGAAAUUCGAACGUCGGCGCCAUCUGCGAGACUUUACCGUAAGCUUCUACGUCAACUGUCUACUUCGCGUUAUAGGUAUAUCUGUAUGUAUUACUUACGAAAGUAGUAAAGUUUCCCUAAGCCGAAUUCACAACGAUUGAAAGCACUCUCGAUGGGAGUACACUUGUGGAGAAGUGACUGCAGAGCACGACGCGUGACGCACAAUCGACGCGUUGAUACGACGCCGCACGCUGUUGGAACGACGUUUACUAGGUCCUAUCUGCGUUUAUUUGACUAUUCUCAAGGAGCGACAGGAUCCAUGAGGAUCGACGGCGACGUAAAUGAGUGACGAUAGCUAUCCUGCCCGCUUGGAAACUUGGUGAAUUACGGGACUAUCGGUACGCUUUCUAAGUGGUGAAAGUGCUCGGAGUUCAAAAUACCGAUUUUUCUACGAAGCUCAUGAUAAUCAAGGGUCCUGGGAAUAAGGACAGGGUGAAAGGUACCGCUGGCUACGUCACUGGGCUCGGUCAAUGCAUCAAUCCAAGCUGCAUCUGUAUGUAUUUACGGGACCCCUAUAUGACAUCAUCCCUCUCCCGUUGGUCCCGUUCGUUUCGCUGGGUGACUUCUGUCGCCUAACUCCAAACACCCCAACCCCGACUGCCACCUCCCUUUACCUUUAAUCUUUAUCAAUCCAUCCAGCCGGGCAUCCUCGCCGCCCGUAGAACGAAUGGACGGACGCACGAAUCGACGCACCGACGCACAGACGGAUCGACGGACGGACGCCACCGCGCAUUAUUCACGGGCGAUAGCGUCCCUGCUACCGCGACGGCGACGGCGACGCCAACCUCGACUUAUUCCCACCCCCAGUUAUACUAGUCCCCUUAUACUAGUCCACGUUUUACUCGAGCUACACAGACGCCCCUAUUUCUUCAACCACGAUUUCGAAUCGUCCCUCGACUUAUAGUAAAUUAAAAUUUCACGUUUUAUUUUAUUUUACAUUCAAAAUUUUUUAGGAAAAAAUUUUUAGGUCAACUUUUUUUAUAUAUGCCAACCGAGGUUACCGAAAUGCGCAGAACUUAUUCUGUUUGCGUUCCAAUGAUGCUGCCAACUGACAGGGCACACGGGAUUUCAAAAGUAAACGGAUUCGUGGACUUUUCUGAAGUUGAAGUUUAAUGCCGGCAAGUGCUUCGUGCUGAGGCGUCUUCAAGUUGAGGAUUUGCCCAAGCGAAGACACGAAGUUACGGAAGAAUGUCCGGAGUUACUUUACGCAGAAUUUAACGGUUAUUGAGACACAGUGCGCAUGCGCGGAUAUCAUAUGAUUUACGAACGCUUUGUUUUAUAGUCUUGUUAGGUAUACCUGAAGCCUGAGAAACCGUAACACGUGUUAUGGCUCAUAACCAUAGUUACAUUUUGUUCAGUGCUACCAUUUUCAGUUCUGCUUCAACCCCUCUGCAACUUUGUUGCUAUUAACGACCGUUUGUGCCAGUGGAUCCCUUGGGAUUUGCAAUACGACUUUUCCCAUUGUUAUUCUGCCAUCUGUCUGUCCUUGCGACUUUAAUCGUUAUAUCGUUACACAAAAAAUGUCCAAUGCUCCCUUGUCACCUGUACAGCGCGUAUCAAAAAAUGUAUCAAAAAUUGUACAAAAUUUAAAAGUCUAUCGAAUUAACUUUUUAUUGUAAUAUAACGUAGAGAAUAUUUUAAUAGACGUAAAAAUAAUGCUUUUUUUUUUCAUAAAUAUAUUAUUAUCUAAUUGUAUUGUAUUGUGGUAUCUAUGCGUUGCUUAGGCAAUACUUUGUUCCAUUAAAGUUUCGUGCUACAGACCCAAGUAGAAGGUCAAUGCUGAUUCCAGUUGAUAUUUAUCAUAAGUCCAACAUGAUUAGUUCCCAGUACCCUGAAGUUUCUGAGUAGCUCGCAGCAGCGCAACCGUACAAAAAAUGAAAGAUUCCAGUAGCAUCUUAUACGGACCUACUCUUACCCAGUCCACGUUCUCAACACAGUAGGUAUAAUAAUAUUUAAAUGUUGAGUAAGAAGGGAAUUAAAAAAAUAGUCUCGUUACCUAGCUUUAGGUUAUCCAAAAUUAAUUGUCGACCAUUUAAAAGAAAAUGUUGAUAAGUUCCUUCAGAGCGAUCCAUAGUUAAAAUUUUCAACUGAAUGAUCUGCCAUCUGGCGGCUAAAGCGGAAUGACAGUCACUGGCUAAGCGACCACGUAAUAUAGGGCUGGACAAUUUCUAGGUUUAAUUUGCUUGAGCCCAUAGGGUGCCAGUACUCCUAAAAGGAUAGAUGGUGGUAGGUAAUCUAGGACGGUCCGAUGACGUAGCGCACACACCUGAGGCGUGGGUGUAGAAGGUUGUAGGUAGCCAAGCAGUAAGGUUAGGCAGGCAGACAGGUGGGAGGAGCCAGAACUGUUGGCUACCUCUACCGACGCCACACCUACUAUUGAUCAUUCUCCAUUAUUUCCUUACCUGGGUUGUUGAUUAAACGCAACUUCCAAGACAGUGAAACCUUUUUGGCCUGUUCCACCUCCUUGUCAACCUGCCGCACCCACUUGGACCGGGUCCUCCUCCGUGAGGUUGCCCGGCAUGUCGCUGGUCUAUGGGGAA